AUUACUCCUACGGGAGGCAGCAGUGAGGAAUAUUGGUCAAUGGACGAGAGUCUGAACCAGCCAAGUCGCGUGAAGGAAGACGGCCCUACGGGUUGUAAACUUCUUUUGUAAGGGAAUAAAUAGUCUUACGCGCUAAGACGUUGCAGGUACCUUACGAAUAAGGAUCGGCUAACUCCGUGCCAGCAGCCGCGGUAAUACGGAGGAUCCGAGCGUUAUCCGGAUUUAUUGGGUUUAAAGGGUGCGCAGGCGGCAUGUUAAGUCGGCGGUGAAAUUUUGCAGCUCAACUGUAAAAGAGCCUUCGAAACUGGCAAGCUUGAGUGUGGAUGAAGUAGGCGGAAUUUGUGGUGUAGCGGUGAAAUGCAUAGAUAUCACAAAGAACACCGAUUGCGCAGGCAGCUUACUAAACCAUAACUGACGCUCAUGCACGAAGGCGUGGGGAUCAAACAGGAUUAGAUACCCUGGUAGUCAAU
rnacentral:rRNA from 1 species